UGGGGAAUAUUGGACAAUGGGGGCAACCCUGAUCCAGCAAUGCCGCGUGAGUGAUGAAGGCCUUCGGGUUGUAAAGCUCUUUCGCCCACGACGAUGAUGACGGUAGUGGGAGAAGAAGCCCCGGCUAACUUCGUGCCAGCAGCCGCGGUAAUACGAAGGGGGCUAGCGUUGUUCGGAAUGACUGGGCGUAAAGGGCGCGUAGGCGGCGCAUCAAGUCGGGCGUGAAAGCCCCGGGCUCAACCCGGGAACU
rnacentral:rRNA from 1 species